GGUCGCUUAGCUCAGUUGGUUAGAGCGUGGUGCUAAUAGCAAGUUAACGCCAAGGUCGCGAGUUCGACCCUCGUAGUGACCA
rnacentral:tRNA from 2 species